UCAUCUUGCCCCGUAAAACCGUUAUUGAUCGGCGCAUGUCUGGUGCAUUCUAUGAUUUUAUUUUGUGCAUCACAUUUUGCGAGACGACUCCGGUGGGACUUGAUUGAAUUUCAUUGUCUUUAAGCUAAAAAUACAAGAAUUUUUCUUACAAUGCCGAGCGCAAUGAAAACCCGAAAGCAGAACAAAAAGAAGCCGCUCAAAAUCAAAUUUUAUUCUAAGAUGAAAAAGUCAUCUAAAUAUUUCAAGAAGCUAUCUUUUAGCAAAUUGUUUAUAAAAAAAAACAAAGAUAUGAAGAUAAUUCGAGGUCUCGGAAUCAUUUAUAUAAAUUACUACUAAUUUUGGCAUAUAAAUGGAUUCAAAGAAGUUAGUGCUAGUGUAGAAUCUAUAUAAAAAGACUUUUUGAAUUUUUACUGUCAUUAUUUCUGAUAAAAUUUGAUUGUUUUUAAUCCUUUUAUAUAUCUUUUACACCAAUUUUGUAACUAGAAGCUUUUCUUUCUGACUUGUUACAGUAAUUAAUUUUACAUUAUUAGCUUAAAACAUAAAGCAAACUAUUCGUUGAGUGCUGUUGUGUUGUAUUACAAAUUAUGUAUUUAUUUUUUUACUUUAUACAUGCAUUUUAACCAGAAAAUAGCACUUCAUAUAUACAGGAUCAAAAUUGAAAGUUAUAUUCAAUCUAUUUUUACAUAAUUCUAUGAUUAAAAGAAAAAGUUUAAAUUGUUCUUCUUAUAUAGAUAUGAAUAAAAGUAACUAGAAUCUGGG